rnacentral:rRNA from 1 species
GACAGAGGGUGCAAACGUUGCUCGGAAUCACUGGGCGUAAAGGGCGUGUAGGCGGGAAUGUAAGUCGGGCGUGAAAUCCCUAGGCUCAACCUAGGAACUGCACUCGAACUGCGUUUCUUGAGUGCCGGAGAGGAAAGCGGAAUUCCUGGUGUAGAGGUGAAAUUCGUAGAUAUCAGGAGGAACACCAGUGGCGAAGGCGGCUUUCUGGACGGGUAACUGACGCUGAGA